GAUGGAUGUAUGGGGGGCGGGUCACCAAAGAUAAAUUCCUGAGACUUUUCCUUUUAUCUCGUUCUUUUCAUGGGAGACGCUGUCCGUGAAUGUUUGGUUCCGUCUUACAGGAAACCCUCUCCCAUGACAUUUUUCGGCUCCAAAAUGUUUGGCUGCUGUACUUUUUCCCCAAAUGUCGUCCCUUACUGCAUGUUGCACGUUUCGUGACAUGUAGAAGUACUUCAAAACAGCAAAAGUUAUCAUGGACGGUUUGAUGAUUGAGCUGUUUUGUUGUGGAUGUUCGGGGUGCAGUGGUCCUUCAUUAGAGAUGCGUUGAAAUGGAGCUUGCGCAGACUUGUUAAUGAGUUUGUCCACCAGGGGGCAACUUCCUGGUGUUAGCAAAUUGGCAACAUGGGCAAGCUUUUUCCACUGACGUCAUUUCUAUUCCGGGCGCUGUCAGUUACGUGUUCGUGAUCAGUGCCGUCAAUUGUAACAUUCUUCUUCACAAAUAUCUUCAAGGUAUAUUAUACUAUAUUCAUAUUUUGAUACACCCCUUUUCUUGUCCUUUGGAGUAUUUUCCCUGAAGCUGGCUUUGUUGGAUGUAGGAAUUAUUGCUUGAUGAAGUCGAGCUUUUUCAAGCAGUCCAAUGUCCACUUAAAUUUUUUGCCGGUAAACCGUGUGGUGAACUGUUGUAUGAAGACCAUGUGCUGUUGUGAUGAGCUUCUAUGUGCAGUCUGUGGUGCUGUAUGCUGCCUGUAAAGUCUGGUGCAAGCUUGAAAUUUGAAGAACUCACUGCCUUAACAAUUGAGUGUUUGAAUCAUUGUAUAUUUGUUUCCAUAGUCAGUGAGUUUAUAUUGGUGGCUCUAUUUGGUUUGCAGUUCAUGUUUGGGUGGUUUUGUUGCAGCCAGCUGUUGGGAAGUAAGUUCAAUUUAAAGCUGAAGGUUCUGGAAGCUAUCUCCAUUGCUGGUGACAUCCUGACAUGACUUUGUGAUAAUGUGAUGCAUCUGCCUUGGUGACGAUGAUGUAUCAUCCUGUUGCAUGCAGUUACGUCGAAGCUAGGCUUAAAGUAUAGCUGAAAAAAAUAUUCAUAGAAAUGGAUGGUGAAAAUGUUAAGCGGUUUUGUAAUCUGGUUUCUUUUAAAGUUUGAAGUCUGGAUUGCGCUUAAGUCUUUGCAGUAACUGUUGUUGGAGUCCUUGCAGUAACUGUUGUUGGAGUCCUUGCUGAAGUCCUUGCAGUAAUUGAUGUUGGAGUCCUUGCAGUAACUGAUGUUGGAGCUAUCCUGACGCUGCUGUGCCAUUGAAAUUCAUUUUGAUAAAAAUAUUUAUAUUUGUUUGUGUUACAAAGUGUGUGUUGAUUGAAGCAACCUGAGUGUUUUUAUUCUCCGAUAUGAUAUGUUGCAACAAAAGUUAUAACUGGUUAUCCUAGAUGAUGAAAUUACCUCAACCCUAAUUAGAUCAUUUAAUAAUUGUAUAUCUUAACUCAAAUUUGCAAUUUUUGGGCAUGUUUGUAAAUUUAGUAUGAGAUCUAAUUUCAUUGUCUUAAUAGUUACAAUAAAUAAAAAAUAAUCAGAUAA
rnacentral:lncRNA from 1 species